AGGUGGAGGAGGAAGUGGAUCUGAAUUCACCUGGUGGAGGCUCUGCUAUGAAUCAGUGUGAGGACGGAGAGGAGGGAGCCCCUCCCUCUAAAAGCACUCUAUGUGGGGAACAUGAAGCUCAGAGUAUCAAAGAUAAGAGACCAGUCUCUGCUGGACCUGGACCCAGCUGUGUGUCCCUAAAGAGUGACUGGUCUAUCGGUCGAUUCGUUGAGUUUAAAGAUGGACGUCGGU